UUUAAUAAUUUGUGUACUAGUUUUGGUAUUUGCAUGGAAAUUUGGUUUAUCCUUUCAAAUCUUUUCUGAUACACUGAGCUUCAUUUGGCAUAUUAAAUUGAAAUUUUAGGUUUGAAGUGAAGUUCAUUGAGGAAAUUAUUGGUGUACUCAAAAUCAAGCAAGCUAACAAGCACCUGACAGAUCUUGACGAAAAUAUGCAAAACCUCAAAAGAAAGGUAGAGUACUUGAGCGGUCAAGAGAAUGACAUAAAUUCACAAAUCAGUGAUGUGGAGCGCCAGCCAGGGAUAAGACCAAAGAAAGAAGUUGAAGUUUGGCUCACAGCUAUGCAAUGGUUUAAAGACGACGUGCAAAGGCUUGAGCAAGAAGUACUUGGAGAAACGAAUGUCUCCUCACACGGUUGGGAAAGGUUAUCACCAAGAAGAUUCUAGAGGUGCAAGAACUCUAGGAAAAGGGCAGUGAUUUUAAUAGUUUGAUGAUUGAUGAAGAUAAAACUGGUAGACUGUUGCAACAGGACCGCCUGGCUAGGAACAUCUAUUGUUCUUUUUUUGGUGUAAUGUUCGUUGUUGCCUGUUUGCUUUCGUCCGGCCGUUUAUACCAUUGGAUGAUCCCAAAAGGAAUUAUUUUUUGAAAAUGUAAUGAUGAAAACCUAAACUUCAAGUAGUAAAAAGGUGUUCGGUUACAUGUAUAUUAUAGAUUCAAUUGCUUGAGUUGUUAGAGAGUGUCUCGACGUGAACAUAUGUAUAUAGAAUGUAAUUUCUAAAGCUUGGUUCAGUCACUGAAAGAUAUUGAAUCGAGCAUGGUCUUUACUUAUUUA